GUAAAGGUCCCCAGAGAAGCUAAAUUAAAGCAGAAAUUUCACCAGUACUCUCCAUUCUCCACAGUAUAAAUCUCACCGCCCAUUUCUUUCUCCAGCAGUAACUUCACAAAUACAAGUUUGGGGGUGGUUGGUCCUGCUCAAAUUACCCACCGCAAUAACAGGUACACCCUUCGCCCAAAUUUGUCACCUUUUAUCCAUUCUCUCUCCCUCCUCCCCUUCAAUUCUCUCGGCUUCCAUUUUUUUUUCUCUUAGUUUGUUUUUUUGGUAUCUUCAUUGUGAAUGUUUGCCUUCUUUUUGUUUUGUUAUUUUUUUCUCACUGAAUUUCUUAGCUAUAAUUGAUUUUCUCUUCAAAUUAAACAUUUUGCUAUGUUUCUGUUAUUCCUUCAUCAUUUUCUCAAGUGGGUAUAUGCUUAAAUUUGAGUGUCCCUGUAUUUCGUUUCCAUAAAUUCUCUUCUGCCUCCUCUAUUAAUAAAGCUAAUGUCAAAAGGGUUCCGAUUUAUUGAGAAAAUGGUCAGUUUUUGCAAGUGGGUGUUAUUUGAUUUUGUUUGUUUGUAGCCGCUUUGUUCUGUGUCUAAAUAGUGUUCUGUUCGUUUUAGAAAACAAAGGAAUUUUAUUCGAGAAUGUCCCUGGCUUUAAAAAUUAGCAGU
rnacentral:misc_RNA from 1 species